GAUAAGAACGCAGCGAAAUGCGAUAAGUAAUGCGAAUUGCAGAAUUUCCGUGAGUCAUCGAAUCUUUGAACGCACAUUGCGCCCACUGGUAUUCCGGUGGGCAUGCCUGUUCGAGCGUCAUUAUCCUCCCUCAAACCCCGGGUUUGGUGUUGGACCCAAGUUGUGUGAACAACUGGUCUCAAAGACAAUGACGGCGUCCGUGGGACCCUCGGUGCAACGAGCUUUUAGGAGCACGCGCCGAGUUGCAAGGACCUUCCGGGCCGGUCUCCUUUACUAUUUUACAAGGUUGACCUCGGAUCAGGUAGGAAUACCCGCUGAACUUAAGCAUAUCAAUAAGCGGAGGA
rnacentral:misc_RNA from 1 species